UCCGUAGGGUGCGAGCGUUGUCCGGAAUUAUUGGGCGUAAAGAGCUCGUAGGCGGUGUGUCACGUCGGCCGUGAAAACCUGGGGCUUAACUCUGGGCGUGCGGUCGAUACGGGCAUCACUAGAGUUCGGCAGGGGAGACUGGAAUUCCUGGUGUAGCGGUGAAAUGCGCAGAUAUCAGGAGGAACACCGGUGGCGAAGGCGGGUCUCUGGGCCGAUACUGACGCUGAGGAGCGAAAGCAUGGGUAGCGAACAGG
rnacentral:rRNA from 1 species